rnacentral:lncRNA from 1 species
GACCAAUGGGGUAGCCCAUAGAUUUUUGGAUAUGGGAAUAACAACUGGAGAAGGCUGUGGCACUGCGGCAACCAUUUUCAGCAAGAUGGACUCUGUGUUGAAAGGGCACUGUAUACCUUGGCAGAAUUGCAUUGCUCUUUCUGUUGACAAUGCCAGCGUAAAUAUGGGAGACAGAAACUCUAUCAAAUCGAGGGUGCUGAAAGAAAACCCUUCAGUGUUCCUCCUAGGUUGCCCAUGCCACAUAGUGCACAACAAUGCCUCCGCUGCUGGUGCCGUGUACAGUGAGAUCACAGGGUUCGAUGUUGAGAACCUGGCAGUAGAUGUGGGCUUUUGGUUCAAAGCUAGCACCAAACGCAAGAACAUAUUGGAUGGUAAUUCACUCAUUUCAUUUCUCAAGAUCUAGUUUACAUACAGAUGAAGUAAUUCAUUUUUUUUUUCUUUAAUCAUUGCACUGGUUGUUUGCUGUAAUCUACAUUUUAUCGUCACAGAAUUCUGUACGUUUUGUGACACAAGCUACAUGGAGACACUGCUGCAUGUGAGCACAAGAUGGAUUAGUUUGGAUAUGGUGGUCAGUCGGAUUCUACGUCUCUAUAAGGCACUCAAGAGUUAUUUUGGAAGCAUCCGUAAGUAUAAGCCUAGUCUUGAUUUUGAAGCCUAUUUGAUGUAUCCAUCUAAUGUAACAAGGUAUCAGUUUUUCGCUUGUCACAAGUUCACACAGUGUCAAGGAAUAUGAAAAUGUUUCAAAAUUAUAAUUUAUUUGUUUUGCUGUGCGUCAAUCGUUCCAGGACCCAAUGACGGAGAUCCAUCUCUUGUUCUACCAGUCGACACUGAUAACUUUCACACAUUUUAACCUGCUAUUCCAGCGGCAAGACCCUUGUGUCUAUCUACUUCAUGAACAAGUACAUAACACUUAUUGUUGCAUUUAGUUUUUUAUUUGUAGUUGAACUCACAAAUAUAUAAAACGUUAUUUGUCUACUAUACUAUUCAUGUCACUAUUUUAGAGUUCCUUUAGCCCUGUGCCUUAAGUAAUUGUAUGAAUAGGGAUCAUUUACAAGGGGGUAUAUUUUUUAGGGUAAUGUGUGAGAGUCCGUAUUUUCGCUAAUCUAAUUCUUCUAUUUGUGUAUUAAAGAUCAGGUUGUUCGUCAAGAAACUCCUGUCCAAAUUCCUGAAGCCAGGAGCUUUUAGAGGUGUCAAUGUGGACACAGUGGACCUCAGGGAUGAGGAGAGCCAAUUGCCAGGUAAA